GAGUCAAUGCAAAACAUGGAUCUUUGCUGCUUCUUCUUAUCUGACCAUGAAGUGAAGACAGAGAUCAGUGUGUGCUCUCAGUUUGACAUGAUGGACGUGAGAACAGGACUCUUACUCAUUUUUAUUUUUUGUGAAGGUGUCUUUGGUCAGACUCUGACACAGUCUGAAUCAGUAAAUAAAAGACCUGGAGAAUCCCACAAACUGACCUGUACGACCUCUGGAUUCACCCUGAGCAGCUACUGGAUGGGCUGGGUCAGGCAGGCCACUGGGAGAGGACUGGAGUGGAUCACUGCAGAUACUGGUGGCAGCACCAACUAUUACUCUCAGUCAGUUCAAGGCCGGUUUACUGCCUCCAGAGACAACAGCAAACAGCAGCUGUAUCUGCAGAUGAACAGUCUGAAAAGUGAAGAUUCAGCUGUUUAUUAUUGCGCCAGAGUCACAGUGACUGAAGUUGGUUGAGGAGUUGUACAAAAUCCCGAAGCUUCAUUCUGUAAAAGAUUAGAAAUGUAACAUUUUCAAAACCACUUGCAGAGAAGGCCACGCUUAG